UACGGAGGGGGCUAGCGUUGUUCGGAAUUACUGGGCGUAAAGCGCGCGUAGGCGGCUUUUGUAAGUUUAGAGGUGAAAGCCCGGAGCUCAACUCCGGAAUUGCCUUUAAGACUGCAUCGCUAGAAUCAUGGAGAGGUGAGUGGAAUUCCGAGUGUAGAGGUGAAAUUCGUAGAUAUUCGGAAGAACACCAGUGGCGAAGGCGACUCACUGGACAUGUAUUGACGCUGAGGUGCGAAAGCGUGGGGAGCAAACAGG
rnacentral:rRNA from 1 species